UUACUUACCUGACAAGGGUGAUACCACAGUCAUGAAGUCGAUUUUCUCAAGGCGAGGUUUAUCCAUUGCACCCCAAAUUUGCUGACCCUGUGUGUCCCCAAAUGUGGGAAACUCAACUGCAUAAUUUGUGGUAGUGGGGGACUCCACUCACCCUCUCCCCCG